rnacentral:rRNA from 1 species
AGUGAACGCUGGCGGUAGGCCUAACACAUGCAAGUCGAACGGCAGCACAGUAAGAGCUUGCUCUUACGGGUGGCGAGUGGCGGACGGGUGAGGAAUACAUCGGAAUCUACUUUUUCGUGGGGGAUAACGUAGGGAAACUUACGCUAAUACCGCAUACGACCUACGGGUGAAAGCAGGGGAUCUUCGGACCUUGCGCGAUUGAAUGAGCCGAUGUCGGAUUAGCUAGUUGGCGGGGUAAAGGCCCACCAAGGCGACGAUCCGUAGCUGGUCUGAGAGGAUGAUCAGCCCCACUUGAACUGAGGCACGGUCCCGACUCCUACGGGAGGGAGCAGUGGGGAAUAUUGGACCAUGGGCGCAAGCCCUAUCCAGCCAUACCGCGUGGGUGAAGAAGGCCUUCGGGUUGUAAAGCCCCUUUGGUGGGAAAGAAAAGCAGCAGGUUAAUACCCCGCUGUUCUGACGGUACCCAAAGAAUAAGCACCGGCUAACUUCGUG